rnacentral:tRNA from 1 species
GGCGAGUUAGCCAAGCGGUCUAAGGCGCUAGACUAAGGUGCUCGACACGGGCGGUGAAAUCUAGUUCUUCGGAGCGUGGGUUCGAAUCCCACACUCGUCA